rnacentral:lncRNA from 1 species
AUGGCUGGAGCCACGAGAUCUAGUUGUAGCUUCACAAAAAAACGCGCAACGAAGAAGCUUGUGUGUGGGCUUCUCCUGCGUGAGCAGCACGGGUGCCAAGAAAGGGCUUU